rnacentral:rRNA from 1 species
GACGAACGCUGGCGGCGUGCCUAAUACAUGCAAGUUGAGCGCUGAAGGCUGGUACUUGUACCAACUGGAUGAGCAGCGAACGGGUGAGUAACGCGUGGGGAAUCUGCCUUUCAGCGGGGGACAACAUUUGGAAACGAAUGCUAAUACCGCAUAAAAACUUUAAACACAAGUUUUAAGUUUGAAAGAUGCAAUUGCAUCACUCAAAGAUGAUCCCGCGUUGUAUUAGCUAGUUGGUGAGGUAAAGGCUCACCAAGGCGAUGAUACAUAUCCGACCUGAGAGGGUGAUCGGCCACAUUGGGACUGAGACACGGCCCAAACUCCUACGGGAGGCAGCAGUAGGGAAACUUCGGCAAUGGACGAAAGUCUGACCGAGCAACGCCGCGUGAGUGAAGAAGGUUUUCGGAUCGUAAAACUCUGUUGGUAGAGAAGAACGUUGGUGAGAGUGGAAAGCUCAUCAAGUGACGGUAACUACACAGAAAGGGACGGCUAACUACGUG